rnacentral:rRNA from 1 species
GACGAACGCUGGCGGCGUGCCUAAUACAUGCAAGUCGAGCGCAGGAAACUGACGGAACUCUUCGGAGGGAAGGCAGUGGAAUGAGCGGCGGACGGGUGAGUAACACGUAAGGAACCUGCCCCAAGGAUUGGGAUACCUCCGAGAAAUCGGAGCUAAUACCGGAUAGUUCAACGGACCGCAUGGUCCGCUGAUGAAAGGCGCUUCGGCGUCACCUUGAGAUGGCUUUGCGGUGCAUUCGUUAGUUGGUGGGGUAACGGCCCACCAAGGCGACGAUGCAUAGCCGACCUGAGAGGGUGAUCGGCCACACUGGGACUGAGACACGGCCCCGACUCCUACGGGAGGCAGCAGUAGGGAAUCUUCCACAAUGGACGAAAGUCUGAUGGAGCAACGCCGCGUGAGUGAUGAAGGUUUUCGGAUCGUAAAACUCUGUUGUAAGGGAAGAACACGUACGAGAGGGAAUGCUCGUACCUUGACGGUACCUUACGAGAAAGCCACGGCUAACUACGUGCCAGCAGCCGCAGUAAUAC